AGGAUUAGAUACCCUGGUAGUCCACGCCGUAAACGAUGUCUACUUGGAGGUUGGUGUCUUGAACACUGGCUUUCGGAGCUAACGCGUUAAGUAGACCGCCUGGGGAGUACGGUCGCAAGAUUAAAACUCAAAUGAAUUGACGGGGGCCCGCACAAGCGGUGGAGCAUGUGGUUUAAUUCGAUGCAACGCGAAGAACCUUACCUACUCUUGACAUCCACGGAAUCCUGCAGAGAUGCGGGAGUGCCUUCGGGAACCGUGAGACAGGUGCUGCAUGGCUGUCGUCAGCUCGUGUUGUGAAAUGUUGGGUUAAGUCCCGCAACGAGCGCAACCCUUAUCCUUGUUUGCCAGCACUUCGGGUGGGAACUCCAGGGAGACUGCCGGUGAUAAACCGGAGGAAGGUGGGGACGACGUCAAGUCAUCAUGGCCCUUACGAGUAGGGCUACACACGUGCUACAAUGGCAUAUACAGAGGGCAGCAAGACCGCGAGGUGGAGCGAAUCCCACAAAGUAUGUCGUAGUCCGGAUUGGAGUCUGCAACUCGACUCCAUGAAGUCGGAAUCGCUAGUAAUCGUGGAUCAGAAUGCCACGGUGAAUACGUUCCCGGGCCUUGUACACACCGCCCGUCACACCAUGGGAGUGGGCUGCACCAGAAGUAGAUAGCUUAACCUUCGGGAGGGCG
rnacentral:rRNA from 1 species